rnacentral:rRNA from 1 species
UACGGGGGGGGCAAGCGUUGCUCGGAAUUACUGGGCGUAAAGGGCUCGUAGGCGGCCAACUAAGUCGGAUGUGAAAUCCCCAGGCUUAACCUGGGAACUGCAUCCGAUACUGGAUGGCUUGAAUCCGGGAGAGGGAUGCGGAAUUCCUGGUGUAGCGGUGAAAUGCGCAGAUAUCAGGAAGAACACCUAUGGCGAAGGCAGCUCUCUGGGACGGUACUGACGCUGAGACGCGAAAGCGUGGGGAGCGAACAGG